rnacentral:tRNA from 1 species
UGUGGCUCAGUAGUAGAGCACUUGUUUAACAAGCAUGAGGCACACUGGGUUCAAUUCUCAGCA